AGAGUUUGAUCAUGGCUCAGAUUGAACGCUGGCGGUAUGCUUAACACAUGCAAGUCGAACGGAAACGAUAGUAGCUUGCUACUAGGCGUCGAGUGGCGGACGGGUGAGUAAUGCAUGGGAAUCUGCCUAUUAGUGGGGGAUAACACGAGGAAACUCGUGCUAAUACCGCAUAAUCUCUUCGGAGGAAAGCAGGGGAUCUUCGGACCUUGUGCUGAUAGAUGAGCCCAUGUCGGAUUAGCUAGUUGGUGGGGUAAGAGCUCACCAAGGCGACGAUCCGUAGCUGGUUGAGAGGAUGAUCA
rnacentral:rRNA from 1 species